GCGGCACCGGGUGGACCCGCUUGUUCCCGCCUCCCUCUUCGCCCAGCCAGUUCCCGUUGGCUGUCUGUCUGGGACAGGCACAAUGAUGGCGCUCCUGGAGCUCGGGGGCGGGGAGCUUUUCAGAGUGUAGAAUUUUCCUGCGAGUUGGACUCUUCACCAACUGACUGUCCCGAGGGGGCUGAAGCUGCUGCCCGGGUCAGUGGCGAGGUUCGGCGCAAUCUCUGGCUUGUAACUAGAGUCCGACGCUGGAUGCGCGGGGUGACGGUGCUGUCUUCACGUUACAACAAUUUUAGGAAGAAUCACCCUGGAUUGAAAACUGAAAACUGGAUAAAGAGAACCCCCACAACAAGGGACAGUCCUGACGAAAGCAGAAGAGUCAGUAACUCCGGCCAGAGAGGAAAAAAGCCACCUUUGGGAGCAGUGGAGCUUCUCAGCUGGCCAGGCGGGAGCCAACCUAAGGUAC
rnacentral:lncRNA from 1 species